AUCUAGGGGUAAAGAUGAGAAACCUGUCUACUUCAAGCGUCAAGUCCCUAACCAAGAACAGCUCACCAUUUCGUGUGUUCCAUACCCUGAAGGAACCUCCAGCCUCCACUGUCUUUGCUGAGCUUACCGAAUUUUUCCCAUUCUCUUGAAGAAGGGCAAUUUUUGAAGAAAACUUGAAGGAUACAGAGAGGUAGAAAAAGAAGGGAAAGGAAAAGCCAUCCAAUUACAUCUAAGUGAAGAGUCCUGAGUUGUGAUUCCCGCAUUUCCUUGGUUUGGUUUCCUGCACACAAGCACAAGCCUGGUUAGCGGAAAGGAUGCUGGGAAAGCAGGUUAGAUCUGAGGCUGGACAAUAGUCUCCACAUGACACCAGGACUGGAGAGCACUUCUGGAGUCCCUGUGGGUUAUUGGGAAUCCCUGCAGGUCUCCUUUCUACUCUCAUUGCUGCUGAUUUCACCAUCACCAACACCAAGUCUCCCUACCCAAGGUUUCUCAGCUGAAGAUGUGUUUUCCUCUGCUAAAGCAGGCUCAUGGAGAUAAGUGCGCCCACCAGGGCAGAAGAGGGUGGAGCUAGCCUACUUCCUUGUACAGCCCACAGAAGCCCACCGGAGCUCCAGCUGUCCCCGGGCUGGAUUAAACUUCUUCAAGGGACAACACAAGGCAACAUUUUCCUGAGGAAUUCCAGCCAGCAUGAACUCUCUCACAUAGCACCCUCCUCAAACAGGGCAUGGACUUAUUGCUGAGGACAGUCCCUCACAUUAGUUUUCCAACUCUGAGACAGGGCCACAGGAAGGCCAAACCCAAAGUGAGUUCUCAAAUGCUCUUGAGGGCAGGGUGCUGGGCAUCACGGUACAAUAUGGGCAGUCAACACAGACAACCAAAGGGUCCACCAUGGCCUGGACCCCUGGGUAGCUGUAUGAUUACUGCAGGGCACAUCCAGGAAACUCUGUGAGUGCCCAGAUGGGCCUGCUGUCUCAUUCAUAUAGGACAGCUGGCUCCUAAAUGUCUC
ensembl:lncRNA